rnacentral:rRNA from 1 species
UGAGGUAACGGCCCACCAAGGCGACGAUCGGUAGCCGGACUGAGAGGUUGAACGGCCACAUUGGGACUGAGACACGGCCCAGACUCCUACGGGAGGCAGCAGUGGGGAAUAUUGCACAAUGGGGGAAACCCUGAUGCAGCGACGCCGCGUGGAGGAAGAAGGUCUUCGGAUUGUAAACUCCUGUUGUUGAGGAAGAUAAUGACGGUACUCAACAAGGAAGUGACGGCUAACUACGUGCCAGCAGCCGCGGUAAAACGUAGGUCACAAGCGUUGUCCGGAAUUACUGGGUGUAAAGGGAGCGCAGGCGGGCGAUCAAGUUGGAAGUGAAAUCCAUGGGCUCAACCCAUGAACUGCUUUCAAAACUGGUCGUCUUGAGUAGUGCAGAGGUAGGCGGAAUUCCCGGUGUAGCGGUGGAAUGCGUAGAUAUCGGGAGGAACACCAGUGGCGAAGGCGGCCUACUGGGCACCAACUGACGCUGAGGCUCGAAAGUGUGGGUAGCAAACAGGAUUAGAUACCCUGGUAGUCCACACCGUAAACGAUGAUUACCAGGUGUUGGGAGAUUGACCCUCACAGUGCCGCAGUUAACACAAUAAGUAAUCCACCUGGGGAGUACGACCGCAAGGUUGAAACUCAAAGGAAUUGACGGGGGCCCGCACAAGCAGUGGAGUAUGUGGUUUAAUUCGACGCAACGCGAAGAACCUUACCAAGUCUUGACAUCCCUUGACGAUGCUGGAAACAGUAUUUCUCUUCGGAGCAAGGAGACAGGUGGUGCAUGGUUGUCGUCAGCUCGUGUCGUGAGAUGUUGGGUUAAGUCCCGCAACGAGCGCAACCCUUAUGGUCAGUUACUACGCAAGAGGACUCUGGCCAGACUGCCGUUGACAAAACGGAGGAAGGUGGGGAUGACGUCAAAUCAUCAUGCCCUUUAUGACUUGGGCUACACACGUACUACAAUGGCGUUAAACAAAGAGAAGCAAGACCGCGAGGUGGAGCAAAACUCAGAAACAACGUCCCAGUUCGGACUGCAGGCUGCAACUCGCCUGCACGAAGUCGGAAUUGCUAGUAAUCGUGGAUCAGCAUGCCACGGUGAAUACGUUCCCGGGCCUUGUACACACCGCCCGUCACACCAUGAGAGCCGGGGGGACCCGAAGUCGGUAGUCUAACCGCAAGGAGGACGCCGCCGAAGGUAAAACUGGUGAUUGGGGUGAAGUCGUAACAAGGUAG